rnacentral:rRNA from 1 species
CAGGGAUUCCCCUAGUAACGGCGAGUGAAGCGGGAACAGCUCAAAUUUGAAAUCUGGCCCUUGGGUCCGAGUUGUAAUUUGUAGAGGAUGCUUUUGGUGCGGUGCCUUCCGAGUUCCCUGGAACGGGACGCCUUAGAGGGUGAGAGCCCCGUACGGUUGGACGCCUAGCCUCUGUAAAGCUCCUUCGACGAGUCGAGUAGUUUGGGAAUGCUGCUCUAAAUGGGAGGUAUAUUUCUUCUAAAGCUAAAUACUGGCCAGAGACCGAUAGCGCACAAGUAGAGUGAUCGAAAGAUGAAAAGCACUUUGAAAAGAGGGUUAAAUAGCACGUGAAAUUGUUGAAAGGGAAGCGUUUAUCACCAGACUUUUUCUAGGGGGAUCAUCCGGGGUUCUCUCCGGUGCACUUCCCCUAGUUGAGGCCAGCAUCGGUUUUCGGAGGGGGAUAAAAGCUUCGGGAAUGUGACUCCCUCGGGAGUGUUAUAGCCCGUUGCAUAAUACCCUUCUGGGGACCGAGGUUCGCGCAUCUGCAAGGAUGCUGGCAUAAUGGUGAUCAACGACCCGUCUUGAAACACGGACCAAGGAGUCGAACAUUUAUGCGAGUGUUUGGGUGUUAAACCCUCACGCGUAAUGAAAGUGAACGGAGGUGAGAGCCCUUACGGGUGCAUCAUCGACCGAUCCUGAUGUCUUCGGAUGGAUUUGAGUAAGAGCAUAACUGUUCGGACCCGAAAGAUGGUGAACUAUGCGUGGAUAGGGUGAAGCCAGGAGAAAUCCUGGUGGAGGCUCGCAGCGGUUCUGACGUGCAAAUCGAUCGUCAAAUCUGCGCAUGGGGGCGAAAGACUAAUCGAACCAUCUAGUAGCUGGUUACCGCC